rnacentral:rRNA from 1 species
UCGGGUUGUAAAGCACUUUUGUCCGGAAAGAAAACUUCUGCCCUAAUACGGUGGGAGGAUGACGGUACCGGAAGAAUAAGCACCGGCUAACUACGUGCCAGCAGCCGCGGUAAUACGUAGGGUGCGAGCGUUAAUCGGAAUUACUGGGCGUAAAGCGUGCGCAGGCGGUUCGUUAAGACAGAUGUGAAAUCCCCGGGCUUAACCUGGGAACUGCAUUUGUGACUGGCGAGCUAGAGUAUGGCAGAGGGGGGGUAGAAUUUCCACGUGUAGCAGUGAAAUGCGUAGAGAUGUGGAGGAAUACCGAUGGCGAAGGCAGCCCCCCUGGGCCAAUACUGACGCUCAUGCACGAAAGCGUGGGGAGCAAACAGGAUUAGAUACCCUGGUAGUCCACGCCCUAAACGAUGUCAACUAGUUGUUGGGGAUUCAUUUCCUUAGUAACGUAGCUAACGCGUGAAGUUGACCGCCUGGGGAGUACGGUCGCAAGAUUAAAACUCAAAGGAAUUGACGGGGACCCGCACAAGCGGUGGAUGAUGUGGAUUAAUUCGAUGCAACGUGAAAAACCUUACCUACCCUUGACAUGGUCGGAACCCUGCUG